rnacentral:lncRNA from 1 species
CAAGACAGCUCACAGACUUUGGAUCCAGCCUAAACUCAGGCUGUUAAUGGGAACAAAACGCCCAAGAGCCAGACAGAAGCUGGCUUGUAAGAGAACUCCUGGGUCACACCAAAUACCCAGGUUGCAGUCUCCAAGGAGGACCCUCAGGAAACCUUGGGGAGGGACAGUUGUGCACCCCCUUGGCGUGUGCAGGAGGCUCAGCAAUGAUGCGUUCCUCAUCGUCUUCAUCCUUGAUGGCCGAGGCCAUAAUGGGCGGUGUGGACGCGGGGCGGACCACCUCAGACACAGCGCGACGCAGCUUCACCUGAGGCUUCUGGAUCUCCAGCUCCUCAGAUUCAGCCUUCUGUAAAGCCAGGCGCCUAUCAAGCUCAGGUCCUUCCCUCCCUCCAGCAGACUCACCACACCCCUCCAGGAAGACCCACCCCGGACCCUGCCAUGGCCUGCUGUGGGAUCAGAACACACACAGGCUGGAAGUCAAGCUGGGUUGUGCUGGCCAACUCCCGUCCUCAAGCUUCCCUCUCAAGUCCCCCGAACCCCACCAAUCGAGAGUUGUACCUUG